UUACGGGAGGCAGCAGUGAGGAAUUUUGCACAAUGGGCGCAAGCCUGAUGCAGCGACGCCGCGUGAGGGAUGAAGGAGCUUUGCUUCGUAAACUUCUGUCGGGUGGGAAAAAAAGCCGUACGAACGGCUGGGAUUGUACCACCAAAGGAAGGACCGGCUAACUACGUGCCAGCAGCCGCGGUAAUACGUAGGGUCCUAGCGUUGUCCGGAUUUACUGGGUGUAAAGGGUGCGCAGGCGGGCUUGUGCGUCAGAGGUUAAAUAUCUCGGCUUAACCGGGAAAAUGCCUUUGAUACGGCAAGUCUUGAACACGAGAGAGGAUAGUAGAAUUCCUGGUGUAGCGGUGAAAUGCGUAGAUAUCAGGAGGAAUACCAGUGGCGAAGGCGGCUAUCUGGCUCGUUGUUGACGCUCAGGCACGAAAGCGUGGGGAUCAAACAGGAUUAGAUACCCCGGUAGC
rnacentral:rRNA from 1 species